UUUUGAACAAAAAUUAGCGACUAAGGUAACUAAGGCUGGGAAUGUCAAACCACCGCGAUGCGCUGCACUACAAGUCACAAGCGAGCAUAAAUGAGUCAACAGUUGAGUCAUCUACUUUAUGAAAUUACAGCCUGAUGCGCGCACGUCGGUGAAUUCAAUUUCAGUUGCUCUGCUUUCUUGUGUCCCGUUUACAGCGCACAGCGACAGAGAUCCUGAGGACAAACAUCCUUCUGCAUCAAGGUCCUUUCUCAUGUUCAGACAGACUAUAUCCCACUACCUAAACUUGCGGUCAGCCUACAGCUAAUUCAUCCCUGCAACAGACUGAGCUGACCACCAUGCACUCUGAGGAUGGAUCUACGGUCGACGACAUCUUCUACUCCAAGGCUGGGCAAUUCUGGUGGAGGUCAACGGCAGAGCGGAGGUUUGAAGCUGCUUGGUCGUCUCUCCCCCCAAUUAGAGGAGGAUCUCUGGUCAAUGAAAGGUUUACCCAAUUAAUUGUUCCCUUCGGACCAUCUCAGUCUCCUGGCCAGGUUCCAGCUGGACUGAAACCCUGUGUAAUUUGGGCUGUUUGUGAUCAAUUAAUAAUCAGGAGGACCGAGGUCAAGUAUUUAAAAAUGUUUGUUCAAACUGUACAUGAUUUUCCCAUGGUGUGAUUCCAUGUUUUAUAAGUUCAUAAUUGUACUUAAUUGGUUCCUUGGGCUCACAUGGUUGUUUCCUACCUGAAGAGAAACUACUCAUCCCAAGGUCCAGAGGGGAUGGGAUGUCCUCUGAAGAAUUGUUUUUGUUUACAUGAAGAGAGAGCAAAACAAACCAAAAAGGUUGAAUUUAGUUCAAAGUUGGAAUUUAUUUGACAAAUUCUCUUACUGUUGAGAUUUGAAUGCAUGAAGCUUUUAGAUUUUAAAAGUUAAUAUUUUGUGAACAAACUGAGUAAACAAUCUGCUACACUAGUAAAUUAGAACAUUUAAAUCUUUACAAACUGUGUUUGAUGCGUUUUGUCCCUCUGGCUUUGGGCCAGUCGUAGUAUUAUUUUUCAAAUGAUAGAAAUAUUGAAUUCAUAUUUUCCAUAUACCAAUAUCAGUUUGGCAGUAUUUUGGGAAGAUCUACAUCCUGUCUUGCCUGGCUGAGAUGGUGUUAAUCCGUGACAAGGACUGACGAGUUGUGCGUUCCGAGAUGCUGUUCUGCACACCACUUAUGUACUGCGCCAUUAUUUGCCUGUUUGUGGCCCACCUGUUAGCUUGCACAAUUCUUGCCAUUCUCCAAUUUUUUUGUUGGUCGCACCAUUCUCGGUAAACCCUAGACAAUGUCGUGCAUGAAAACCCCAGGAGGCUAGCCGUUUCUGAGAUACUGGAACAGAUGCGCCUGGCACCGACGAGCAUACCACGCUCAAAGUCGCUGAGGUCACUUGUUUUGCCCAUCCUAACGUUCAGUAGAACAGUAACUGAAUGCCUCAAUGCCUGUCUGCUUUUUUAUAGCAGGCCACGUGACUCACUGUCUGUAGGCGCAAACCAUUUUUGUGUACCUAAUAAACUGGCCACAGUGUAUAUUUCCACACUAUGAGGUUGGAAUAAUACUGUGAAAAUGAUAAUGCCCUUUUAGUGUAAGAGCUGAAAUGUCAGCCUGUUUAGAUGGGAUGGAGUUUCGGCCUGCCUGGUGACAUCACCAUGCUGUAAAUUAGAUAAUACAUAGACCAU
ensembl:lncRNA